UACAGAGGGUGCGAGCGUUAAUCGGAAUUACUGGGCGUAAAGCGUGCGCAGACGGUUGCGUAAGUCAGAUGUGAAAGCCCCGGGCUCAACCUGGGAAUUGCAUUUGAGACUGCGUAGCUAGGGUGCGGAAGAGGGAAGCGGAAUUUCCGGUGUAGCGGUGAAAUGCGUAGAUAUCAGGAGGAACACCUGUGGUGUAGACAGCUUACUGGACCAUUUCUGACGCUGAGACACGAAAGCGUGGGUAGCAAACAGG
rnacentral:rRNA from 1 species